GAGUUUGAUCAUGGCUCAGGUGAAGUGGUAACAAGGUAACCGAUCCAGAGUUUGAUCAUGGCUCAGAUUGAACGCUGGCGGCAGGCCUAACACAUGCAAGUCGAGCGGUAGCACAGAGAGCUUGCUCUCGGGUGACGAGCGGCGGACGGGUGAGUAAUGUCUGGGAAACUGCCUGAUGGAGGGGGAUAACUACUGGAAACGGUAGCUAAUACCGCAUAACGUCGCAAGACCAAAGUGGGGGACCUUCGGGCCUCAUGCCAUCAGAUGUGCCCAGAUGGGAUUAGCUAGUAGGUGGGGUAACGGCUCACCUAGGCGACGAUCCCUAGCUGGUCUGAGAGGAUGACCAGCCACACUGGAACUGAGACACGGUCCAGACUCCUACGGGAGGCAGCAGUGGGGAAUAUUGCACAAUGGGCGCAAGCCUGAUGCAGCCAUGCCGCGUGUGUGAAGAAGGCCUUCGGGUUGUAAAGCACUUUCAGCGGGGAGGAAGGCGGUGAGGUUAAUAACCUCAUCGAUUGACGUUACCCGCAGAAGAAGCACCGGCUAACUCCGUGCCAGCAGCCGCGGUAAUACGGAGGGUGCAAGCGUUAAUCGGAAUUACUGGGCGUAAAGCGCACGCAGGCGGUCUGUCAAGUCGGAUGUGAAAUCCCCGGGCUCAACCUGGGAACUGCAUUCGAAACUGGCAGGCUAGAGUCUUGUAGAGGGGGGUAGAAUUCCAGGUGUAGCGGUGAAAUGCGUAGAGAUCUGGAGGAAUACCGGUGGCGAAGGCGGCCCCCUGGACAAAGACUGACGCUCAGGUGCGAAAGCGUGGGGAGCAAACAGGAUUAGAUACCCUGGUAGUCCACGCUGUAAACGAUGUCGAUUUGGAGGUUGUGCCCUUGAGGCGUGGCUUCCGGAGCUAACGCGUUAAAUCGACCGCCUGGGGAGUACGGCCGCAAGGUUAAAACUCAAAUGAAUUGACGGGGGCCCGCACAAGCGGUGGAGCAUGUGGUUUAAUUCGAUGCAACGCGAAGAACCUUACCUGGUCUUGACAUCCACAGAACUUUCCAGAGAUGGAUUGGUGCCUUCGGGAACUGUGAGACAGGUGCUGCAUGGCUGUCGUCAGCUCGUGUUGUGAAAUGUUGGGUUAAGUCCCGCAACGAGCGCAACCCUUAUCCUUUGUUGCCAGCGGUCCGGCCGGGAACUCAAAGGAGACUGCCAGUGAUAAACUGGAGGAAGGUGGGGAUGACGUCAAGUCAUCAUGGCCCUUACGACCAGGGCUACACACGUGCUACAAUGGCAUAUACAAAGAGAAGCGACCUCGCGAGAGCAAGCGGACCUCAUAAAGUAUGUCGUAGUCCGGAUUGGAGUCUGCAACUCGACUCCAUGAAGUCGGAAUCGCUAGUAAUCGUAGAUCAGAAUGCUACGGUGAAUACGUUCCCGGGCCUUGUACACACCGCCCGUCACACCAUGGGAGUGGGUUGCAAAAGAAGUAGGUAGCUUAACCUUCGGGAGGGCGCUUACCACUUUGUGAUUCAUGACUGGGGUGAAGUCGUAACAAGGGUAACC
rnacentral:rRNA from 1 species